rnacentral:misc_RNA from 1 species
AAGGCCCUCUAGUUGCGGGUAUAAAAGAGCCGGGUACAUGUUGCCCGAUUGCCUUAGUCUCUCCGGUGCCCGCGUUUUGUGGAUUUCGAUUGUGAUUCCUUCCUUCAGCCUUACAAAACCCCAGCAGCAGAAAUGGAUCUGAGUGCUCGCGACAUUGAAAGGGGGAAAUUCGCCUUCUCCAUCUACGAUUUUGAGGGUAAUGAGACUAUGGACAUGUUCUACUUGGGAGACUGCCUCCGAGCUCUUAACCUAAACCCCACCUUGGCUCAAAUCGAGAAAAUGGGUGGCACAAAGAAGAAGGGAGAGAAGAAGAUCAAGGCUGACGAAUUCUUGCCCAUCUUCUGCCAGAUCAAGAAAGAAAAGGAUCAAGGCACCAUUGAAGAUUUCAUUGAGUGCAUGAAACUCUACGACAAGUCCGACAACGGAACCAUGGUUUUCGCAGAGCUCCAACACAUCCUCAUGGCUUUGGGCGAGCGCCUCGAAGAGAAGGAAGUCGAUGACAUCAUGGCUGCCUGCUGCGACCCCGAGGAUGAGGAUGGCUUGAUCCCCUACAAACCGUUUCUUAACCGACUUUUGGCCGGACCCUACCCCGACAGUCAGCAAUAAGAUAUUUAAGUGUUACGCCUCUUCAACCCUACCCUUCAACAAAAAAAAACAAAAAAACGCAAACAGUUACACAUCCAUCAGCUUUCUUGGAGAAAAUGAUUGCUGGUCCUUUCCCGGACGCGGAAUAAACAUCAACAUCAACAACACCCACACCCAACCGU